UACGAAGGGGGGCAAGCGUUGUUCGGAAUUACUGGGCGUAAAGGGCGCGUAGGCGGCUUUGCAAGUCGGGUGUGAAAUCCCCAGGCUUAACCUGGGAACUGCAUUCGAGACUGCAUUGCUAGAGUAUGGGAGAGGGAAGUGGAAUUUACGGUGUAGCGGUGAAAUGCGUAGAUAUCGUAAGGAAGACCAGUGGCGAAGGCGGGUCUCUGGACAGGUCCUGACGCUGAGGCACGAAGGUCAGGGGAGCAAACGGG
rnacentral:rRNA from 1 species